CCUACGGGAGGCAGCAGUGAGGAAUAUUGGUCAAUGGGCGCGAGCCUGAACCAGCCAAGUCGCGUGAGGGAAGACGGUCCUAUGGAUUUUAAACCUCUUUUGUCGGGGAGCAAAAGACGCCACGCGUCGCGUUCCGAGAGUACCCGAAGAAAAAGCAUCGGCUAACUCCGUGCCAGCAGCCGCGCUAAUACGGAGGAUGCGAGCGUUAUCCGGAUUUAUUGGGUUUAAAGGGUGCGCAGGCGGAAGAUCAAGUCAGCGGUAAAAUUGAGAGGCUCAACCUCUUCGAGCCGUUGAAACUGGUGUGCUUGAGUGAGUGAGAAGGAUGCGGAAUGCGUGGUGUAGCGGUGAAAUGCAUAGAUAUCACGCAGAACUCCGAUUGCGAAGGCAGCAUACCGGCGCUCAACUGACGCGCAUGCACGAAAGUGUGGGUAUCGAACAGGAUUAGAUACCCGGGUAGUC
rnacentral:rRNA from 1 species